rnacentral:tRNA from 1 species
GGCCCCAUCGUAUAGUGGUUUAGUACGCAUGGUUCUCAGCCAUGUAACAGGGGUUCGACUCCCCUUGGGGCCG